CAAGUCGAACGGCAGCGAGGAGAAGCUUGCUUCUCUGUCGGCGAGUGGCGAACGGGUGAGUAUAGCAUCGGAACGUGCCAAGUAGUGGGGGAUAACCAAACGAAAGUUUGGCUAAUACCGCGUAAGCUCCAAGGAGGAAAGUAGGGGACCUAAAUAAGGCCUUACGCUAUUUGAUCGGCCGAUGUCGGAUUAGCUAGUUGGUGGGGUAAUGGCUCACCAGGGCAAUGAUCCGUAGCGGGUCUGAGAGGACGAUCCGCCACACUGGGACUGAGACACGGCCCAGACUCCUACGGGAGGCAGCAGUGGGGAAUUUUGGACAAUGGGGGAAACCCUGAUCCAGCCAUGCCGCGUGUAUGAAGAAGGCCUUAGGGUUGUAAAGUACUUUUGUUAGGGAAGAAAAGCUAGUUUUUAAUAAAAAUUAGUGAUGACGGUACCUAAAGAAUAAGCACCGGCUAACUACGUGCCAGCAGCCGCGGUCAUACGUAGGGUGCAAGCGUUAAUCGGAAUUAUUGGGCGUAAAGCGAGUGCAGACGGUUACUUAAGCCAGAUGUGAAAUCCCCAAGCUUAACUUGGGACGUGCAUUUGGAACUGGGUGACUAGAGUGUGUCAGAGGGAGGUAGAAUUCCACAUGUAGCGGUGGAAUGCGUAGAGAUGUGGAGGAAUACCGAUGGCGAAGGCAGCCUCCUGGGAUAACA
rnacentral:rRNA from 1 species